CCUGGGAGCAAUUCACCUGUGCAACCAGAAUGGGUAGAGCCAGGCUCCCUAACCUCAUUUAAGGGCUGGCUGCAAUGAGGGAAGAUUGUCUGCUUAGAGAGCCUCUUGAUUGGAACAUUUGGGGAGCCCUGAUCCCUGGGAAGGUGUGUUCAGAAGAGGACAAGACACCCUACCGUCAGGGUACAGGGUAGCAUCCUCACACUGGAUGGAGUUAGGAACCUCGUCAGAACCAGAAUAUGUCUCAGGAAGCAGGGAUGUCAUCCAGGAGUAACAUGCCAAAGCCUGUCAGAAGUCAUGUUGGAAGAAUUAUAGAUUUUUUUUAUUUUAUUUUUUAUUUUUUAGUAGCACUCUGAGCCCAGAUGGCUAAGGGAAAAGAAACAAACUUUCACAAUAAAGCCCAGGAUUUUGGUGUUAAGACAUCUGUGGCUUCAGGUAGUUCCUAAUGCUGAUUUCACUCUUGGAGGUUCCAGACUUUCUCUUUUAUUGCAAAAGGCACAUUUUGCUGUUUUUAAAAAACAAAACAAACAAAAAAAAAACUUCCACAGUAGCAUGGAGCAAGAGCCUGAAGAACAGAAAGCCUACAUGUGAAUUGAAUCCAUGAUCCUGAGAUUGAGUUCUCAUCUGGAAGUAAAUUAACAUAGUCAGGAAGACCGGUGUCUGCCAUAUUUAUGAAGGAGAAAGGAGAGAUAAACAUCUAAUCAGAAGACAGGUAUCUUGACUCUUUUAUAUAAUGUCCCCAGAGAUCAUCUGUGGAACCUGGAAAUACCUAUUUGUUUCUAUGCCACAAUAGAACAGCUGCGAUAUGUAACUGCCACUGUUAAGUUUCUCAAAUGUUAAUCAGGGGAAUCUUGGGAUUCAUAGGACUCUGAGGAACAACCACUUCUCAUAUUGUGAGACAGUGGAUUGACUGUAACUUGUUUCCUUCAUGCCUUCUGUUGUUGUGGCUGAAGAUUAGAUAGGGAGAUCUGAAAUCCAUGAUUGAGCAGUUAAAGCUUUAAAGCUCAACAAAGCCAAAAAUUCAAAAUCACCGCCAUUGCUUUUCUUUAAACCCAAGCAGGCUGCCAGUUCCUACAGAGAAGGAGAAUCAGAGAUGGGAGAAUUACCAAGCUCAAAGAUAGAAGACAGCCACGAAGCACUGAGCCUAAUUCACGGUGCAUGUGUAGGUCCUGCGUGGAAAACAGGGAGCUAGCCAGCUUGUAGGAGAGACUUUAGGUAUCUGACUGUAUAAAAUUAACACAGGUUUCUGCUGAAGUUUUCCUGUGCUUUGUCCAGUUCUUUGGUAACUGUUCCCAUGUUUAGCAGUUGUAUAAAGUACCCUGUGUAUUUCCUUCCAAUGAAAAGAGAUGUUUGUUUAACUCUUUGAGGGUGGUGGUGCUGUAGCAAAAAUCACCAUCUGAUUCAAAGUACUGGGCCUACUCUGCCCAAAGCUGCCCCAAAAAAGAAAAAACUGUUUCCAAUAUAGAACACUUUUGCUCUGUGUGGGAAAGUUAAUGUUUCCACGUGUGUCUUUUUUUCCUCUCCUUCCUUCCUACAAUCAGGAAUGGUUUGGGUUGACCAUUUCUGGUUGUCUCCAUUCUCCUUCCUUGAGCAAGCAUUGUACAGCCCACCUCCACCAUGUCUGGCUCUUUCCUCCCCGAUGCCAGUUACCUCUGCUCCAGUACAGAUCACUCAAACCAUGGCAUUGCUCAACCAGGGACAGUAAGAGUGACCCAGUGCAGAGGAGCUGCUCACGUUCCCCAGUGGAUGUGGUCCCAGCUGAACUGAACUGGAAGGCCUGAUUUUUCUGGAUUUUGAGGAAACACUCAUCAGAGGAAGCCAUAUUUUGAAAGUAAAGUGUAAUGAUUAACCU